rnacentral:lncRNA from 10 species
AGCCCUCGUGAGUGGCAUUAGGCUUGACUGACUUACAAAAAAUCUUAACCAACUGUGUUCAGCCCUUUUCCCUUUCUGCCCUCUGCCAUGUGAGGUCACAGUGUUCCUCCCUCCUGAGGAUGCAGUGUUCAUGAAAGCAAACACUGGGCCCUCACCAGGCAACAAACCUGCUGGUGCCUUCAUCUUGGACUUCCCAGCCUUCGGAACUAUGGAGCCCGCACUCUCCAGUUCAUCACCACCCCAGCAUCCCUACUCUUGCAUCUAACAGUUUCCGCUAUUUUGCACCACCUGCCUGGCCCUUAUGGGCAACUCAAGGAAGAAAGGAAAGAAGAGAUAGAGGAAAAAUGGAUUCAACAAAUGAAAGUGUUCUUUCUGACUACUGCUGUGUUUACAAACAUUUUAAUCAUCAAAACAUGCUUUAUUUGAUAGAAAGAUCAAAUCUGCCUUUGUAAAACAAGAGACUAUUUUAAUCAUUAAGACAACACACAUGUUUGAUUUGGAGGCGUGUUCUCAUUCAAAACCUUGCAAAAUAUAAUUUCUUCUUGUCUGGGAGAUGGUGUCUUUCUUCGGGGAGAACCUUGAGAGAAAUGUCUAUGAAUGUGUCUGUAGAUUGAGGAUAGGCCAACAAACAUAUUUUGAAAUAUUUUUUCUUUCUUUUAAAAAAAUAGAUACUUUUAAAAGAAAAUGCUUAUUUAAAUUACAUAGCUCUUUUUUUCACUCUCAGUCAUCAUUUGUGGUUUCAGUCAGUACUACAUUUAUUCCCCAGAGCUAGGAUUGCUGUGUUUUUAGAAAGGGAGCCUGUUUGAAGGGACUCUAUACUCUUGCAGUAAUUAAAAUCCUUUUAGGAGUCUUUGACUUUGACUUACUGCUUUGUUUUAAAUUAUUGAAAUUAUUCAACUUCCCCAUUCUAACCCACGGAAGGCUGUUGUUGUUCUCAUUUAUAAUGGCACAAUAUAAGUUUAAAGAUAGCUGUCUCCACAUGAAUGCAUCUGCAAAUCCAUCUCUCUUCUCUCUUCUGCCAUCCAGGUUAAGAAGCUCCACUGCGCUUUGUCCAUUGCAAGUUGAGAAGUGAGGCCCCAGCUGUCACAUACAGUGAGUGAAGAAGCUGAGCUUCCCUCAACGCCUGGGCCUGUAUGAAUUUUUUUUUUUUUUUUUUUUUUGGAGACGGAGUCUCACUUUGUUGCCCAGGCUGGAGUGCAAUGGCACUAUCUCAGGCCACUGCAACCUCUGCCUCCCAGGUUCAAGCGAUUCUUCUGCCUCAGCCUCCUGAGUAGCUGGGAUUACAGAAGUGCACCAUUACAGCUUGCUAAUUUUUGUAUUUUUAGUAGAGAAGGGUUUUCACCAUGUUGGCCAGGUUGGUCUCGAACUCUUGGCCUCAGGUGAUCCGCCCGCACAGCCUCCCAAAGUGUUGGGAUUACAGGCGUGAGCCACUGCGCCCGGCCUUAGGUAAGUUCCUUUUUUUUUUUUUUUGAGACGGAGUUUCACUCUGUUGCCCAGGCUGGGGUGCAAUGGCAUGAUCUCGGCUCACCGCAACCUCUGCCUCCUGGGUUCAAGCAAUUCUCCUGCCUCAGCCUCCUGAGGAGCUGGGAUUACAGGCAUGCACCAUCAUGCCCGGCUAAUUUUGUAUUUUUAGUAGAGACGGGGUUUCUCCAUGUUGAGGCUGGUCUCAAACUCCUGACCUCAGGUGAUUCACCCGCCUCGGCCUCCCAAACUGCUGGGAUUAUAGGCAUAAGCCACCGCGCCCGGCCUUAGGCUCCAUCACAAGAGGGAGCCCCAUUGCUAGUCCCCAUCCUCAAAGCCUCUGCGUGAUGUUGUCUACUGUUACUCUUCACUACCCUGUGGGAGCCAAAGCCCUGGACAUAAGAACAGAAGGCAAGUAGGCAGUGGUGGCUGAGAGGAAGAACUGACACCUUUGUGCUAUCAGAGCACUUUGCAGAGGAGCUGUUAGUGGCCCUGUAGGAGUCUGCUGGCCAUACAUCUGGGUGUCAAAUCAAGAGAGCAUGAGAAGUUGGACAGGAAAGGUCCAAGGCAAAAUGGUUACUAAAGGCCAUCCCUGAUCCUGACCCUAAAAGAAGAAAAGGCCCUUUGCUCUUGGCAUGCUUUUGCAGGAGUGUCUCAGUCUGUUUGGGCUGCUAUAACAUUGACUGGGUGAUCUGCCUGCCUGGCCUCCCAAAGUGCUGGGGUUACAGGUGUGAGCCGCUGCACCAGGCCUUGAGGUCAGGAGUUCGAGACCAGCCUGGCCAACAUGGUGAAACCUGUCUUUACUAAAAAUACAGAAAUUAGCCAGGCAUGGAGGCGCAUGCCUGUAAUCCCAGCUACUGGGGAGGCUGAGGCAGGAGAAUCGCUUGAACCCAGAAGGUGGAGGUUGCGGUGAGCCCAGAUAGUGCCAUUGCACUCUAGCCUGGCCAACAAGAGUGAAACUCUGUCUCAAAAAAUAAAUAAACAAACAAACAAACAACAAC